rnacentral:lncRNA from 1 species
CUAUCAAUCUUAAAACUCUCUCUCUAUUCUAUUUCGCAACCACUGUAUCCCAGAGUUUCUCUACAAACUCUUCCAAGAUCACAGUAAAGCUUCUUCUUGAUGAGCCCUCUCAACAAUGAAGAUAACUACCAGUUUCACUACUGGAUUUUUCUCAGUUCUUUCUUUACAAAAUCUUUGUUACAGAAAAUAUAAAAGAUAUA